AUUUAAUUUGUGAUUUUGGAACUGUUGCCUCUGCAUAACUAAAUUGAUAUUGUCUUAAAAGAUUUAGCAAACUGACUUACUACCUUAGCAAUUUGUUUUUCUAUUCUGAGAAAUAGUAUGAGAAAUCGACACCCUAAUAGGGUUGGAUCAAUCCAUCAGAGAGAUGAGCGAACCAAUGAUAGAAUAAAUUAGUCUACUCGCAAAUGACUUUAUUUUGUUGAUAUGAAAUGAUCCUACUACUGCUGCUCCGAUCAGGUUGGUCAAGUUUCACAUAACGUAGUUCUUGGAACGUUUAAUCUUGGGGACCAAAGUCAAAAUGGUGUUCCUAACUUUAGUCGGGUAUAAAACUCUUUGGUCAUUGGGCUUAUGCCUUCUAUUAUUGAUUCAUUUUGAUUUAUGCUUCGAAAUAUCUGUCUCUUCUGUAGAUUGUUGACGCUGUUUUAAAUUCUAUUGGGCUUGGGAGCCAGAUCCCUAUGGGCGCAACAAACACAUCAUCCAGUGUGCCUCUAAGUGACAUCCUAUUGGCAGAAUUUGGAGUAGCUCUUGCAGUGUGAGUGCACAAGAUUCUUCAGUAAACCAGACCUCGAGUAGGCACGCAAAAGCAAGUGCAUAUGUCCUCUGAAACUUCGUUUGUGGCUACCCUUCCUGCUCUUUUAUGCUAAGGUGUCUACAUGUUCUGAUCACCAUGAAGUAAAGCCUGCAUAGUAUGAAUAAGUAUGUCAGUUGGCUCUUUUAAGGUGCUGCCCUUUUAUCCAUCAGAUUUUCACUUGUCUGUUUGUUUUAGUUUGUGGAAAGUACUCUUACUGUUACUGGAUUGUGCUGAUCAGAAAAUUGUUGAAUUUUAAGUUGCAAGGGUGCAAGAUGAAGCUAAAGUGAUGACUAUAGAGAGUGGAACGUAACUUGGGAUGGCCUGAGUUCGAUACCUUCAUGGAUGCCGUCACUCUCUUCCCGAUGGUCUCAUGAGGGUUGCUGAUGUCAUGGUUGAUGGUGAGAUCGUUGUUGCUGCUGGAUAAGGAAAUGUCGGAAAGGGUUGUGCUUCUACAGGAUCUUCUCUCAAGCAAGCUGGUGCCAAGGUCCUAAUGAUUGAACUUGUGGUUGAAAUUUUUAGGACUUGUUGUAUCACUUCUCUUUAAGAAACUUUAAUUAUAGGGAGUUGAAUCCUUUUUUUUUAUGGUUUUGGACUAAAUUUAUGAGCACAGUUCAAUGUAACGGAGCUGU